CCUACGGGUGGCAGCAGUGGGGAAUUGUUCACAAUGGGCGCAAGCCUGAUGACGCAACGCCGCGUGGAGGAUGAAGAUCUUCGGGUCGUAAACUCCUUUCGAUCGGGACGAAUGAUCUCCGGGUGAAUAAUCCGGGGAAAUGACGGUACCGAGAGAAGAAGCCCCGGCUAACUCCGUGCCAGCAGCCGCGGUAAUACGGGGGGGGCAAGCGUUGUUCGGAAUUACUGGGCGUAAAGGGCUCGUAGGCGGCCAACUAAGUCAGACGUGAAAUCCCUCGGCUUAACCGGGGAACUGCGUCUGAUACUGGAUGGCUUGAAUCCGGGAGAGGGAUGCGGAAUUCCAGGUGUAGCGGUGAAAUGCGUAGAUAUCUGGAGGAACACCGGUGGCGAAGGCGGCAUCCUGGACCGGUAUUGACGCUGAGGAGCGAAAGCCAGGGGAGCAAACGGGAUUAGAUACCCCUGUAGUC
rnacentral:rRNA from 1 species